ensembl:lncRNA
GGGAAAGCAUGGCAGUCCCUCUCUCUGCUUUAUAUUAUUCUCAUGUUUUUUAUUUAAGUUAGCCUCUUGGCCAUGGUGAUGGAUUAUAGCUGCAGAAGAAAUGCCAUUAAGAGACAAGGUGACUUAGGACAGGAAAUGUGACAAUACAGAAAACAACAUGGUAGCUGCAGAAGAAUACCCAUCACACACAGCAUUUGGAUGCCACAUGGAAUUCAGAAGCAGUGCUUUCCAAAGCUCAUCCAGCACUCACGCAGUACAUCUCGGUGAGAGAAGGUUUGAGCAAUGCCAGUAAUAUCUGCUCGUCUUUUAACACAAAUAAUAUCAAAU